rnacentral:rRNA from 1 species
GUGGGGAAUCUUCCGCAAUGGACGAAAGUCUGACGGAGCAACGCCGCGUGAGUGAAGAAGGUUUUCGGAUCGUAAAGCUCUUUCGUUAGGGACGAACGUGCUCUUUGUGAAUAAUGAGGAGUAAUGACGGUACCUAAAUAAGAAGCCACGGCUAACUACGUGCCAGCAGCCGCGGUAAUACGUAGGUGGCAAGCGUUGUCCGGAAUUAUUGGGCGUAAAGCGCGCGCAGGCGGGAUAUCAAGUCUGUCUUAAAAGUGCGAGGCUCAACCUCGUGAGGGGACAGAAACUGGUAUUCUUGAGUGUCGGAGAGGAAAGUGGAAUUCCAAGUGUAGCGGUGAAAUGCGUAGAGAUUUGGAAGAACACCAGUGGCGAAGGCGACAUACUGGCUCAUUACUGACGCUGAGGCGCGAAAGCGUGGGGAGCAAACAGGAUUAGAUACCCGGGUAGUCC